rnacentral:lncRNA from 1 species
GUAUUUUUCACUGAGUUGUAGAAAAAUUAUCAGGAAGUAAUUGGUUAAUAAAACAUAUGUCACUUAGUUGAAAAGUUUGUCGACCUUAAAAAUGCUGCAUAUCAACAUCAAAGUUUGGAAAGAGAGCAAGAGAGUGAGAAGAAUAUCUCAUCGUUACCAAGUAAGAUAUGAAAAGAUUAUUUAAUAUAUAUUUUUUAUUUUCCUAUUUAAUUUUUGUGCAUGUCAAUUAUUUUUUUUUAUCACGGUUGCUUAAUAAAUCGUUAAAAUACUACAUGUAUUUAUAACGAUAUUUUAAAUCUUAAACAACUGAAGACAAUUUUAAGAUGUUUUUAUUUUUAUUUUUUAUUUUUAUUUACAAAUCAAUCAAAAGUCAACAACUAUUCAACUGAUUUAUAUUGUACAUAUAUGUUAGGGUUAGAACUUAAUGACUUUACAUGUGUGACGUGUAUAUACAGGGGCUGAUGGUUUUUAGGGACCAUUUACAUUAUAACAUUGAUAAGUAAUUGUCUCUAAAAUUGUAACAUGAAUUUGAUUAAAACUUGUUUCUUUUAUAAUUUUACGAAAUGUUUUGGCUUAAUCUUACCUCACUUUAAUCCGAAUGGAAUUAGAUAUGAAUAUUAGAUAAUUGAAUGUUGCCCUUGUUUCAAUGUUAUAUGGUUAAGUGCCUUUUGACAGUGAUAAACACACAUUCUCUUUCUAAAAAUAAAUACCACUGUUGUGUUGGAAAUCCAAUUAUCAUAAUAGAUAACGACCAUUAUCGACAAGCGUCUGUUUCCAUUUAUUUGUUAUUCACAAUAUUUUGACAAACACGUUAGAAUUUCAUUUUUGUUCCGAUCUACGUUAAAAAAAAUAUUUUAUUAAGUUGAAUAAUAAUGUUAUAAAUAUCUAGGUGCGAAAUUCUUGUAAUCAUAUAUAUGCUGCCUUCGUACAAGAGCUAGAAAAAAUAAUGAAUAGAUACAAAAUUAAUUAGCUUGAUUUUCCUAUUAAGAAAGAAUCGAUACUUGCUUGGUAGCUAUUGAACCAAGAGUUCCAACUGAUAAAUUUGAAAUAAUUCAUUUGCAAAAAUGAACGCCUUGGAAAUAGAGGUAAUUGAAUGCUUAAUUGAUACAUUAAAAGGUAAAACUGUUUAUUGAAAUGAACAACAACUACAAAUGAGUUACCAUGAUUAGAGUUUUAUUCAAGCUUAUUCGUCAAAUAUCAAAUAUUUGUGUUUGUUUAACUGAGACAUUUAAAGGGAGAUCACUCAAUUGUAAUUUUUUUAUUUGAUAACAAAUUGAUAGAGAAAGUUUUAAUUUUAACUUGUAGCAAGAAAACAAGGUCAGUGACACCAUUUUGUUUUUGUUUAGAUUCUUCUAAAACCUAUCUUCUCAUAUUUUAUUUCAAAACUAUAUAUCAUAGAUAUCUUUGAAAUCACAAAGACCGUGUUCGUUAAUGAACAAUCUAUGCAAAUUAAGCCAUAGCUAGGCGACCACAAUAUCUUUUUCAAAUACAAGCAAACAUCUACAUUUUGAUUAAGAUUAAACAAAUUCUACAUGCAAACAGAAAAACUAAUAAUCCACCAAAAUUCAAAGGCACAUAGAGGAUUUGCAGAAAAGUCUACUGUGAAUAAAGAAAAAAAUUAUAUCAUCACAUUCAUAUUUUUACGGUUUGAAGAUGAAAAAAUUCACUAACCAUUUUAAAGUGGACUUAAAAAAAAUAUAUAUUACUGACCUAUAAACAUGUAUAUGGCGUAUGGAAAAUUGUUUUAUUUACUUAUAUAUUUUACGGACUUUUAUUUUUUACAGCUAUUUCUGAUAGUUUUGAUCAUAUAUUCCUAUAUAUAAGUGCAUAUACAACACAGAUCAUACAGGGACAAGAAAUGGCAAAAGGUUUUUUUCGUUAUUGAAGACCUUUGAAAUGGAG